rnacentral:rRNA from 1 species
UUGUGACCCCAGGAUGGGCGGGGUGACCCGCUGAGUUUAAGCAUAUCAAUAAGCGGAGGAGAAGAAACUUACGAGGAUUCCCUUA